UCUUCUGUUUUUUUCUGUGGAAAUCUGUUCUGAGAAAGCUGAUUAGAAAUGUGUUGUUGAAACUUCAUUUGGUUCCUCUGGGAUUGUGGCUAGCAAGCUCUUGUAAUGGCUGGCUGGAAUUGAUGAAAUUUUAUCAGAUACUCAGUUGUUCUGCUGCUUGCAUACUGAAACCAAGGGAUUUGAAAGUUGGAUUUGUCUGCAUGAACAGUCAAAUAGUUGCUGAGAUUCUAAGCUGGAGAUGUAUUAAAGAGAAAUCUCUUGCUGUAUUUCCAGAGUGCAAUUUGCCAUGAUCUGAAAAAUUAGGACCUCAUGGUGCCAGAUUUGUUUCACAACAUUAAUAAUUCUUUCAUCAGUUCUUCAUCCUUCCACCUACCCAUUUGUGAUUGUUCUGAAACAGUGGAAGUUCACACAGAAAGACUCCAAUGGGUGCAGAGGCAGAAGUUGACAGAACUCAAGUGAUGGUUCUGUAAUGAGGAGAGGGCUAAUUGACAGUACCCCCAAUUUGUUUUCCUUCCUCAUGCUCAUCCUUCCAACCUUCACAUGAGGCUUUUGAAACAAAACAAAAACAGUAACAAAAUGUUUUUUUAAUCCCCCAUAACAAAAUGCCUUUUUUAAUCCCCCAUUCUGAAACUGAAUUUCAGGCUAAACUUUUCCAGGUGCUUACUGAGCUCUGUAUUUCCACUCUCUUGCAGUGCUUCCAUGUUAACUUAUUGUUAGGAACAUGCUUCUGCAUGUGCCCCUGGAUAUAUAUAUAUUUUGUACUAACACUGAAAGCUAAUUCUUUGUUAAAACUAGUCCAUGCUGCAUUUAUAUUAAUGAAUAGUCUAGGACUGCCAAGAUAGGGGAAGUGAGCAGCAAGUUUGUACAGAAGUAGGAAAAAGGUUAAAGUUGCCCUUUAAGGGGAAAAGAAAAUAUUGAAAGAUUCAAUUUUCAGCGUACUGUGACCUCAAAUAAGAUUUCCUUUAUUCUUAAGUGUAAUGGUGCUUGUUUUUCUACAGGAAAAAAAAAAAAAGAAGUCUAGUUUUAACUGGGGCACUCACCGGAGAGUCUGCUGACACAGCAUUCCCUUAACACUCUUGCCUGCUUAAUUAGGAUCUGGAUUUUGUUAACUUCAUGGUUAGAUUGUGUUCUGGAGGCCAUCUGAAGAUACUAGAUAAUGUGUACUUGCCUGGUUGCCUGGAUCAUCAAAAGCUGAACUAUCUGUGUCGUGUCCCCCCCCCCCUUCACACCCAAACUGACUUGAAUUGUGAAUGGAUUUACUUACCGAAGUGUUACUACUGCGGAUCCCUGACUCAUACUGAAGAGGCUGUCCUUCCAUAUCAAGCAUGGAGACUUCUGCCAACGUGCUUAAAAUGUUCUUUGAAGCAGGAUAGGUACAUACAGAACGUGUUGCAAUUCCAACAUGACUGAAGUUUCUUGCCUACUUGACCUGAUCACAGAACCACGAGGUGUUGUGGGAUUAAGGGACCUUGAAGAUCAUCCAGUUCUAACACGGGCAAGAAUGCUUUCCGUGCUCUUCCACUUUCCAGAUCUUGAUUCAUGGGUAAGAAAUCUGUAACUUAGGUAAACUGAAAGUUGAGUUGUCGAUGCCUUCAAUUAGGGCCAUUGGUGAGCAGAAUAUGAAAAUGUAAGUAGAGCUGUGUAAAUUGCAGACACUUACUUUCUAUUAGGGAGGAGAGCAGUAAAUGUAGGUUUGAGAAGUGCUCUUCAGCGAUACAUAAUUCUUACUGAUGUCAGAAGUGGCAUGCUCAAUAUUGUCUUGAUGGAUUUACAACUCCGUAAUCUGCUGCUCUGUAGCAGCUCCUCUCAGAUUUUUUCAUCCACAUACGCACACAAAAUGUCAACCAGCUGAGUAGGCAAAACUAAGGUAAACAACUUGUACUGGCUGGAGAAGGAACAGUUAUCACAGCUGUUGGUACACAUGGGACAGAUGUGAUCAGGUUCAGCAUAGGUGGUAUGUGCUGCUGCAGCUGUGAGUGAUCCAUAUGUCUUUUGCCUUUUCCCAAGAGCGGUCCUGCCAGUUAACCUCUCCUUUCCCCAGUUUUCAGUUGCAAGUUUCUUCAUGGAUUCCCAUAAUCCUUGCAGGUCUAAGUCUUCCACCAUUGCAUUUGGUGGGUUUAACCCGUCUAGUGUCCUGUAAGGUGCCCACUUUAAAUUGCCUAAUUGGUGAUUCUAUGCUAACUCAUUCCUCCCACUGGUAACAGUCAAUUUACUAGCGCCAAGGGAAAAUAACUUUUACUAAUUGAUGUCUACUUUAGUCAGUCAAACCAUUAGGUGUUUAAUUUUAUGAGUUGAUGUUUAAAAUCUUAGAAUCCUGGAACAGCAUAGCUCUGAAAGAAGCUUAGAUCAUGUAGUUCCAAUGCCCUCCUCUCAGCAGAGUUGCCAGCCACCAGAUCAGCCUUCCCAGUGUCCCAUCCAGCCUGGCUUUGAACACCUACAGGUUUGGGGCAUCCACAGCUUCUGUGAUCAACCUGUCCCAGAAUCUCACCACCCUCUGGAUGAAGAAUUUCCUCCUAAUAUCUAAUCAAAAUCUCCCCUCCUUCUGUUUAAAACUGUUCUACCUUGUCCUGUCAUUGUCAGACCAUGUAAAAACUUGUUCUCCCUCCAGGUUAUAAGAUGUACUGAAGGCCACAACAAGGUCUUGUUAGUGCCUUCUCCAGGCAGAACAAACCCAGCUCCCUCAACCUUUCUUAGAUGACAGGUGCUCUAGCCCUCCUGUUAUGAUUGUGGCCCUCCUCUGGACCUAUUCCAAGAGAUCAAUGUCUUUCUUGUGCUGCGGGUCCUAGGUUUGUAUGCAUUACUGCAGGUAAGGCCUCACAAGGGCAGAGCACAGACAGUCACCUCCCUUGCUCUACUGGACACUCUUGUUUUGAUGCAGCCCAUGAUACAGUGGGCCUUUUGGGCUACAAAUGUGAACUGUUGGCUCUUCUAAGGCUUUUCACAGGAUCACAGAAACAGCAAGGUUGGAAAAGACCUACAAGCUCAUGCAGUCCAACCAUAGAUUUCGUUCAUCAGAACCCCCAGGUCAUUUUUCCAGGGUUACUCUCUGUGAGUUCUUCUGAUCUGUACACAUACUUGGGAUUGCCCAGACCCAAGUGCAACACCUUGCACUUUGCCUUGUUGGAUCUCAGUAAGAUCCUGUGGAUCCACUUUCCUUGUCUAGGUCCCUUUGAAUGGCAUGCUUUCCAUCUGUUGUGUCAAAUGCAGCACUCAUCUUGAUGUCAUCAGAAAACUUGCUGAGAGUACACUUGAUCCCUCUGUCUAUACCAUUGACUAAGAUGUUGAAAAUUCCCAAGUGGGAUACCACUCAUCACCUGUAUCUACCUGGACAUAGAGCCAUCCACCACAACCCUCUGGCAGCAAGUAUCCAACCAAUCCUUUACCCAUUAAAUAACUAUCCAAAUCCAUACAUUUCUAAUUUAGAGAUAAGAAUUUGGUGUGGGAUCGUAUUGAAGGCUUUGCACAAGUCUAGAUAGGUGACAUCAGUUGCUCUUCCUUUGUCCACUGAUGCUGUCGCUCCAUCAUUGGAGGCCUCCAGGUAGAUGAGACACAAUCUGACCUUGGUGAAGCCAUGCUGGUUGUCCCAGAUCAUCCCUGUAUUGUAUUAUUGUAGCUUCCACGAUUUUCUCAAGCAGAGUGGUGAGGCUUACCAGCCUGUAUUUCCCCGGCUUUCCUUUCUCUCUCAAAACUUCAAGGGACUUUUUCCUUUUUCCAGUCACUGAGAACUUCACCUGACAUCCGUGGCUUUUUGAAUUUGAUGGAGAGUUGUUUGCCAAUCACAUUGGCCUGUUGGCCAAAGUUAUUGGCCACAUUGUGCAAUAACUGAGAUACCAAAGAUGAAAUAAAAGAGCCAGUGGUUUGUUGUGGCUUUACUCCAGCAGGCAGCUGAGCACCAGCAAGCUGUUCUCUCUCUUUCUUGCACUGGGACGGGAGAGAAAAUCGAGGGGGCAGUAACUCUUUGGUUGAGAUAAAGGCAAUUUGAUGAGACAGAAAAGGAGGGGAAAGUAAUAGUAAUAAUAGCUGUAUACAAUAGAAGAAGUGGUGCACAAUGCAGGUUCUCACCACCUACUGACAAAUGCCUGCUCAGUCCUGCAAAAUGGCUGCCUGUUCAGCCAAUUGCCCACAGUUUUUUAUGGUUCAUCAUGAAUUCAUAUGGUGUGGAACAUGCCUUUGACCCAUUUGGAUCAGCUGGACUGAUUCUGUUGCCCUCCCAGCUCCUUAUGCAGUUCAGCUCCUCACUGGCAAGGCAGAUGAGAAGCAGAAAAGGCUUUCAUUCAGCACAAGCACCACUCAGCAACAACUAAAACACCAAUACGGUAUCAGUGUUGUUUUUCUCCUAAAUCCAAAGCACAGCAUCAUACCAACCACUGUGAAGAAAAGUAACUCUAGUCCUGCUGAAAGCAGGACAGCGUACUGCUGAGAUGGUCAUCCAGUGGUGUGGUCUACCACAGAGAUCUGCAUGUACGUCACAACCCAUUCUCCUGCUAGUCUGUUGUUGCAAGGACAUGUCUGAUCUAUCAUGGUGAAUAUGAGUUUAUUGAUGGACUCAAUACAGAUAGAGUGAGGAUGAUGUACGCGUAUUUUGCUAGUGUGAAUGCUACAAAGUUUCGUUGCUGGAGAGAUAUGAACCCUCCUGUAUAAUUUCGAGUGGUAGUUUAAGGAACAGCUGUUUUAGCUAAGAGUUCAUUCUCUGCUUGGAAGGGCAAGUGUUAUGUGCAUGAAAAACAGCUUCCUUGUUUUAUAUUUGGAAAGUUAUGGCCUAGUCCAAAUAAAUCUCCCCCUCUUGGUAUUCAUGGUUUCCAUGCCUGUGCUUAGAAUCUUUCUGCACUUUUACUUCUGUGGGGGAGAGUGUUCUGGAGCUGGGAUACGAGAGAGCCUGAAAACACUUCUUGUGAGGAGCUGAUGUGCAGUCUGUGUGAAAAUUCAAAACAUACCCCAGUGGGAUGUGAAGGUGAGUGACACAGUGCUGAGCAACUGCAUUGGCAUAGCACUCUGAAUGGGUAACUGUUAAUAAUGAAGGAGUUUAGAUUUAAAGAUGUUCGGCAUUAAUAUAAACAAGACCAGUGUUUGCCAAUCUCUGUUAGUUGGCACAGGAAGCAGUGAAGUAAAAUUGUAGUUCAUCUUGUUCACUUUAUACAAAUCAUACAACCUUUGAAAGGGCUAAAGUAAGGAGGAUUUGUAUCCUGGCUGCUGAUAUUUGAAAGGGACUGUAAAAAGGAAGGAACGUUGCUACUUUAGUAGGUUAUGAUUGAAGAAAGUGAAAUUUACCAUACUGCAAAAAGGCAGAUUUGUAUAGGUAAUGCUUAAAAGCUAAACAUCCUUAUUCCAGAUCCAACUUCAAGUAUGCAGUCACAAAGGCAUGGAUUUUGUGAGACGGAAGCUUUUUGAAGACCUAGCAGUUUUUAUGCAAUUCGUUGGGUUUGUGGUGGUCUUCUCUAUUAUGAUACUUUCUGUUAACCUUUGUCUUUUUUCUCUAACCAAAAGUUUCUCUUGCUAGUUUUCUCUUUUUCUCUGUGUUUGCCUGAAAUUAUUUUUGCUAUAACUUUUAUGGAAAAUCUACCCCCCAUCUUAACAUGCUUGUGCUCUGAAAUCUGGUUCUGUAAAAUCAUCUGUUUUCUUAGCUUUCUGAUCCACUAUACAUUUAUGUUGCCUUAAAGAUCCUAAACUGAAUUUAAAAUAGUUUUCUUUUGCUCUGCAAAGCAGUCUGAAGGAAACUUAUUUUGCUUCCCUUCUGACCCAUUUUCUCAGAUAGAUCAGUCGUGUGAAACCACUGAAAUCACAAGAGAGUGUCCAGAAUUGUACAGAGGUGGGGAAUGGGUGGGGGAAUGGGAGUCUUGCUAAUCAGAGACCUGAGUGUAGGCAGCAAUUAAUGCUGUCCUCCAGAGCCGGGAGGAGUGUGGCUUGUGUGGGUGACUUGUGGCUGUAACCAUGAGAAAGCUCUUCAUUUGCACUUCUGCCUUGCUGGGGGAGUGCAUGCAGAACGCCAUUUCAGAUGUGACCUCUGUGCAAACAGUUUGGAGGCCAUCAGGCAGCAGAUCCAGCGCUUUCUUCAGUCUGUAUGUUCAGCUGUUGCUGUGACCGUGCAUUGUGACCCCUGCAUACUGAGCCAGUGUUUGACAAGCAGACGCUGGCUAACCUCACUGCAUAUUUACAUUUGGGUGCAGGCAAGAAAUGAAUAAAUACUCUGUGUUGCAAUCUCAAGUUAAUCUGUAUCCACUGCAGUGAUUACUGCAGACGGUCUGGUGGCCUUCUGUGAUGGAAUGAGUGGACAAAGGAUGUCAUCUACUUGCGCAAAGCCUUCAGUAUGGGCCCACACCACAUUCUUAUCCCUAAAUUGGAGAGAUAUGGACUUCAUGGGUGAGCUGUUCAAUGGAGCAGGAAUUGGCUGGAUAGUUGCAGGCAGAGGACUGUGGUCAAUGGCUCUACGUCCAGGUGGAUGUUGGUGAUGAGCGGUGUUCCACAGCGUUCUGUCUUGGUCCCAAUGGUUUUCAGUACCUUCAUCAGAGACCCAGUUAAUGCGAUCGAGUACAACAUCAGCAAGUUGCUUAUGACAUAACCUGUGAAGAAAGGUUGAGGGAGCUGGGCUUUUUCUUCCUGGAAAAGGCUUGGGGAGACCUUGCUGUGGCCUUCCAGUGUUAAAGGGAGCUUGUAGGCAGGAAAGAGACUGACUCUUUUACAGGGUCUGAUAGUGAUAGGACAAGAGGGAACCGGAAACUAAAAAAGGAGGUUUAGAUCAGAUGUUAGGAGGAAACUCUUUGCUCAGGGACUGGUGAGGCCCUGGCGCAGUUGCCCAGAGAAGCUGUGGUGCCCUGUUCCUGCAGCCCUGCCCACAGGAGGGUGUUGGAAGUACGUGAUCUUUAAUGUCCCUUCCAAGUCAAGCCAUUCUAGGAUUCAUUCUGUGACUGUAUUUCUUUUUUAGUGGAUUUAACCUGUGGAGUAUUGCUUCCUCCUGACUUUUAGGCAGGUCAGCAACUCGAUGCAGUGCUUUGGCCAUUUUGUUUAUAGUUUAUUUGGAAAUAACAAUAGACUGUUUGUGGAUUUGUGCUGUGAAAUUUGCAGGAAUGUUGUUAUGAAUUUGGUAUUUAUUCUCUGUACUUUAAUUCUUGCUUGGGGCUCUGUAGAGCUUACAAGAUUGUGAGGUUUGUUUGUGUCACUUUGACCAGGCAAGAUAAGAGAACGUGCAUGUGAGCCUUGGCGACCUCACAGUUUGGCACCUUUGUUUAGCUAACUGAUGAUGGUAAAGAAAUGGUAAAAGUCAAUAAUGUGUGACUGAAUUGCCUCUGUGGGUUGCCAAGACAUUGGCUUAAAUGAGAAAUGUUCCUGGUUCAAUUUGUACUUAGAUAAAAGUAUGUCAGCUGAGUACGGUGGAGUCGUAUGGUCAUAUUGAAGUGAUGAUCUCACCUGCUUUUAUCUGUUAGGCUUUUCCACCAGAAGUGAGUAUUCUAUAAAAUAAAAUUCUCAUCUUGGAAGGCAGAAAAUAAAACUCAUUAGGAUCGUAGCUUGCAGUCAGAGCAAGGAAGAAGUUCAUUUCAAUAGUGCUCAGUACAAGAAGCAUUGAGGUUGCUUUAGAAGGGGAAUGCCUGUGUGAGUCAUGCUUACCAAAGAAGAGGACAACCAAAAUUUGGUGAGAUGUGUGAGGGACUGGUAUCUGCAAAGCUGGGAAAAGGGAUCUCAGAAAAUGACUUGCAGUUGCGAAUGUGAGAGGUGACACCUCAGUAGCAGCUGGAAUUUUAGGGCAAUACAGGCUCCAGUGCAAAAAGUAAACGGUCUUUGGCCUUAUACAAGGACAAAAAAAAAA